CCAAUAGGGAUUACCUCAGUAACGGCGAGUGAAGCGGUAACAGCUCAAAUUUGAAAUCUGGCUCUUUUAGGGUCCGAGUUGUAAUUUGUAGAAGAUGCUUUGGGUGUGGCCCUGGUCUAAGUUCCUUGGAACAGGACGUCAUAGAGGGUGAGAAUCCCGUAUGUGACUAGGUGCUUUCGCCCGUGUAAAGCUCUUUCGACGAGUCGAGUUGUUUGGGAAUGCAGCUCAAAAUGGGUGGUAAAUUUCAUCUAAAGCUAAAUAUUGGCCAGAGACCGAUAGCGCACAAGUAGAGUGAUCGAAAGAUGAAAAGCACUUUGGAAAGAGAGUUAAACAGUACGUGAAAUUGUUGAAAGGGAAGCGCUU
rnacentral:rRNA from 1 species